CUCUGUGUCCCCACCCAAAUCUUAUCUCAAAUUGUAAUCCCCACAUGUCAAGGGAGAGACCUUGUGUGAGGUGAUUGGAUCAUGAAGGUGAUUUUUCCCAUGCUGUUCCUAGGAUAGUGAGGGAGUUCUCAUGAGAUCUUGAUGAUUUAAAAGUGUGGCAGUUUCUGCUGUGCUCUCUCUCCCUCCUACUGCCUUGUGAAGAAAGUGCCUGCUUCCCUUUUGCUGUCUGCCAUGACUGUAAGUUUCCUGAAGCCUUCCCAGCCAUGCGAAAUUGCUGAAGGGCAGUCGUGUGACCAUAGCACACUGCAAACCUGAACUCCUGUGCUCAAGCAAUCCUCUCACCUUAGCCUUCUGAGUAUCUGGGACUACAGGUAUGCACCACCACACUUGGCUAAUUUUUAUAUUUUAUUUUUGUACAGAUGGCACCUUGCUGUAUUGCCCA
rnacentral:lncRNA from 10 species